rnacentral:lncRNA from 1 species
UUUGAAGGUAAACCACCAGUAAUCUUCUAGUAACUGGUACAGAUCAUUUCUUAAUGCAAAUGGACAGAAGUUAACAACACAUGAGCCAUUGUUUUGUUUCCAAAGGGAGACUCAGCUGAAGGGGCUUAUACGAGAGUGGGGAUCUAAUUCAGCUUUCAGGUUUAUAUAUUUCUUUUUGUUCUCAUUUGAAUACAUUGUAGGAGAAGUGACCCAGCAUUCAAGCUAUGCCCAGCCUGCCUGGAGCAGCCUUAUCCCUGGAGAAAGAAUCCUUCACCCAGUGACCAGAGGAGGCUUUGGGGGCUGCAGGAAUGCUGGAUAACCCCAUAUCUCCUGCACCCAUCUCCUGCACCCAUCUCCUGCACCCAUCUCCUGCACCCAUCUCCUAUCUCCUGCACCACCUGCAUCUCCUGCACCUCCUGCACC